AUUGAACGCUGGCGGAAUGCUUUACACAUGCAAGUCGAACGGCAGCACGGGGCAACCUGGUGGCGAGUGGCGAACGGGUGAGUAAUACAUCGGAACGUGCCCAAUCGUGGGGGACAACGUAGCGAAAGUUACGCUAAUACCGCAUACGAUCUACGGAUGAAAGCGGGGGAUCGCAAGACCUCGCGCGAAUGGAGCGGCCGAUGUCAGAUUAGGUAGUUGGUGGGGUAAAGGCUCACCAAGCCGACGAUCUGUAGCUGGUCUGAGAGGACGACCAGCCACACUGGGACUGAGACACGGCCCAGACUCCUACGGGAGGCAGCAGUGGGGAAUUUUGGACAAUGGGCGCAAGCCUGAUCCAGCCAUUCCGCGUGCAGGAUGAAGGCCUUCGGGUUGUAAACUGCUUUUGUACGGAACGAAACGGUUCUCUCUAAUACAGGGGGCUAAUGACGGUACUGUAAGAAUAAGCACCGGCUAACUACGUGCCAGCCGCCGCAGUAACAC
rnacentral:rRNA from 1 species